UACGGAGGGUGCAAGCGUUAUCCGGAUUCACUGGGUUUAAAGGGUGCGUAGGUGGGCAGGUAAGUCAGUGGUGAAAUCUCCGGGCUUAACCCGGAAACUGCCAUUGAUACUAUUUGUCUUGAAUACCGUGGGGGUCAGCGGAAUAUGUCAUGUAGCGGUGAAAUGCUUAGAUAUGACAUAGAACACCAAUUGCGAAGGCAGCUGGCUACACGAAUAUUGACACUGAUGCACGAAAGCGUGGGGAUCAAACAGG
rnacentral:rRNA from 1 species